UACGAAGGGGGCUAGCGUUGCUCGGAAUCACUGGGCGUAAAGGGUGCGUAGGCGGGUCUUUAAGUCAGGGGUGAAAUCCUGGAGCUCAACUCCAGAACUGCCUUUGAUACUGAGGAUCUUGAGUUCGGGAGAGGUGAGUGGAACUGCGAGUGUAGAGGUGAAAUUCGUAGAUAUUCGCAAGAACACCAGUGGCGAAGGCGGCUCACUGGCCCGAUACUGACACUGAGGCGCGAAAGCGUGGGGAGCAAACAGG
rnacentral:rRNA from 1 species